UUGACAUCUUCUGCUUCACGGAGUCGUGGCUGAACGACGACAAUAUCAACAUACAGCUGGCUGGUUAUACGAUGUACCUGCAGGAUAGAACAACGGCAUCUGACAUUAGGUAGAUAAAAGGGAAAGUUAUUGCAAUCAACAUCCACUUUCUCAGGUUGCAAGUUCAACAUGGACAGAAUGCCAGUUUCCUGAAUGAGGCCUGUUGGCUACUACCUGCAUGGAGACCAUUAUCUACACCCUACUCGCAUCAUUUCACAUUCAUGAGAGUGGCACGCCCCGGGACUCACUCCCCCUACCAUCUGUUGGAUAAAAGCAGGUUGAAGAUGAGGACAGUACAGCUUGGACAAACCUGAAGGAAAGCAGAAGACUUCUAUCUCCCAUGCAGAACUUCACAGAAGAGAACUGAGUUUUUUUUCUA
rnacentral:lncRNA from 8 species